GUUUUAUAUUUAACAUGGCUGAUUCCAGAAAAUCACGUGGAGAGAAACAUUUUCAAAAUAAAUCAAAUAAUUAUCCUUCAAAAACGUUACUGAUUCCAAGAAUUUAUAAAAGUGUUGCUGAAAUUUUAAGAGGGGUAGACGAGAAAACAGGUAGCCUUAAGAAUCUAGUGUAUGGCAAUGCAUCUGAACGUCGUCCAUUGCAUGUAAGUAAAUUAACAACAUUAUUGAAAUAUGUAUAUUGAAUAAAAGGUUGUAUGCCAUUAAUUACGUAUGAAAGUGAAUAUUAUAUUUCGAUAAUUGUAGCAAC
rnacentral:lncRNA from 1 species